UACAGAGGGGGCAAGCGUUGUUCGGAAUUACUGGGCGUAAAGGGCGCGUAGGCGGCCUUCUAAGUCGAACGUGAAAUCCCCGGGCUCAACCCGGGAACUGCGUCCGAUACUGGAAGGCUUGAAUCCGGGAGAGGGAUGCGGAAUUCCAGGUGUAGGCGGUGAAAUGCGUAGAUAUCUGGAGGAACACCGGUGGCGAAGGCGGCGAUCCUGGACCGGCAUUGACGCUGACGGC
rnacentral:rRNA from 1 species